rnacentral:rRNA from 1 species
CAGUCGCCGCGGUAAUACAGAGGGUGCAAGCGUUAAUCGGAAUUACUGGGCGUAAAUCGCGCGUAGGUGGUUUGUUAAGUUGGAUGUGAAAGCCCCGGGCUCAACCUGGGAACUGCAUCCAAAACUGGCAAGCUAGAGUACGGUAGAGGGUGGUGGAAUUUCCUGUGUAGCGGUGAAAUGCGUAGAUAUAGGAAGGAACACCAGUGGCGAAGGCGACCACCUGGACUGAUACUGACACUGAGGUGCGAAAGCGUGGGGAGCAAACAGGAUUAGAUACCCCCGUAGUCCCUGUCUCUUAUAC